UCUUUAGUUGUCAAUUCGGCUUGU
rnacentral:miRNA from 1 species